rnacentral:lncRNA from 1 species
CCUAACAAAUUUUAUCCUAACCAACUCACCCUACCCUACCUCACUACCCUAGAUCCCCUCCCCUUUCCAUUACGCACAAAGAGGGGAUUUUCUAUUUUUUCUUUCUCUGAACACUACAAUACGCAGGGGAAAGCAACACAAUUUGGAAAAAAAUACACCCACUUCACAUAUCUAUGCACACACACACUAUCACAGAGGUAUACAUAUACUGUCACCACACAGUGAAAAGAAGGGAGGAUUAGGCGCACAGUGAAGAAGAGACAAGGGAGAGAGAGAAAAGGCAAACACCGGUGAUGAAAGUGAUCGGAAGACUGAGAAGAAGACGGAAGGAAAAUCCGGUCAUCUCGCCGGAAUAUACUCUCACCGGUGACCAAGCUCUUCAUUAGAAAAUGACCCAAACUAUCCAGAAAACAGUAGCCAGCGACCAAAUAAACUACAGCAGUUCACAGGCUGCUCAGAAUUUCACCGGAGACACGCUAAAACCGAUCAAAAUCGUCCUAAACAUAAAAAAAAACAAAAGUGGGUUUGUCUUUCGGAUUUUGGGAAUCGAGUUUGAGGUCUGUUCGUGGUUCAUGGGUUCACGAGGCUCCCGUCGCUAUUGAAUUGGUUCAAGUUGAGUGAAUAAAAUGCUCAUUUGAGGUCCAAUUCUACUCCUUCCAUCUUUUAUUUCAUUGUUGGUGAUAUUUGAUGCGUUGGAUUGAAUAUCAUUAAUUGCUUGUGUGUGAUGUGAGUGAUGAACAUUGAGUUUACAGUAGUUGUGGAAUGUUGGAAAUAGCAGUGUGUUUGUUAUGUUUGAAUCUUUGUUGUGAGUUGAUUGAUAUUGGUUUCAGACUUUAAAAAGUGAAUUGAUAAUCGAAGCAUGUGCUAAUCAUUGAUUGAGCAUGAAAUUAUGGGGUUUGAAAUUGAAAGAUUGAUUUGGUGAAUGUUUAUUAUUUUGUUAAUUGUCAAACACGAUAUUAUCAUGUUUAGGCCGAAAUUCAUAGGCAAAUUCUAAGUUUUUGGGCAGGCAACUCGUAGGAUUCUAAUCAUCGAAUGUGUAAAUGUUUGUGUUGAGUGAUUUUCUUUAUUUUUAUCGCAUUUUAUUAAAUGUAUUCAUUUAGCCGGGGAAUGCCCCGACGCUCAUUGUAUUUAUUUACGGGAGAAUGUCCCGACAUAUUAUGUCUUCGAAAGAUGUUCGCGAUCAAGGCCCGAGGCAUCGGGUAAAGAAACGUGGGCAUAAUUAGGAUUAGUGUAGAUUAGAGUAGGAUUUAUUUUUUGCACUUUUUAUUUUGGACUGUACAAUUGGACUAGACACUAUAUUUUGAAUUUGUUUUGUUUUGUGUGUUUGAUUGAUUGUUUUAUGUGUUUUUGUGUGGUUUAUACAUUUUGUAGUAUCAAAUUAGCGGAUAUGAUCCACCAAGCGACCGUGGUCAAACCACGGGAUUGAGGGGUGCCUAUCACCUUCCCCUCGGUCAACAGAAUUCCUUAGCCGGAAUCUCUGUUCGCAAACCGGUUUUAAAGAGUCAAAAUCAUUUUGAAAAGGAUUUUCAAAAGUGACUUGGCACCAAAUUUAUGUCAGGUGGUGACUCUGAAUAAAAAAUAUAAAUAAUCUUUUUUCAGAACAAAACUUUCAUCUUUUGUCACUUUGAUAAUAAAACCCUUUCGAACUUUAGAAUUUAUCUAUUGGUUAAAAAGGGGGUGUGACAGCUCUGGCGACUCCACUGGGGAGUCAUUUCAGAAUUCGAGCUUAUUUUUUGGAGUUGUAUCGGCUUAGUUUGGCAUUAUGGGUGUAUAAACGUUGUUUGUGUUGUUUUGUGUUAUUUUUUUUUCAUUGUUGAGUGCUUGUGUGCUCUUUGUUUACAGUUUUUAUCUAUGUGUUACCGCUUUAUAUCUGACAUCAUGUGCAUAACCCGAGUCAUUCUUUCUGCAACAAGUCCGUAGUGCACGCUGUGUACACGACCUCUAGUUGAGUCACCCUUAUCUUAGGAGGGGGAGCCGUGGGCUGGUAUGGAGUGGGUGGAAAGCUAUAGCAGCGACUAUCGACCAUACNNNNNNNNNNNNNNNNNNNNNNNNNNNNNNNNNNNNNNNNNNNNNNNNNNNNNNNNNNNNNNNNNNNNNNNNNNNNNNNNNNNNNNNNUUUGGUUCUUUGUAGGAAACUCACCUCUAAGGCAUCCCUACGUGCUAAAUGUUGCAUCUUUGAGGGUAACGAGGUCAUUUGACAGACUGAUUUGGGCAAAAGCAUGUGUUAGAAGCAAAGUAUGUAAGCAAGAAAUUGUUGAAAUAAAAAAGAAGAAAAAAGAGUGAAAAAAAAAAGAUUUGGUAGUUUUUAGGGCUCUUUAUGACUUUUGUUUUUCACAAUUAAAAAAAAAUAAUAUUUUUUUACUUUUUGUACUCAUUUUCCAAAAAAUUAAAGACGUUAAAAAAAAAUUCCUUUUAUUUCUUUAGUAAGUAUUCACAAUUCGAAAACUCCAAAAAUAUUUUUUCCUUUCAAUAGGAGCUUUGUACAUUUUUAUAUAACGAAAAUAUCAAAAGAUUUUUUCUUUCAUAGUUGUUGGUGUUAGUUUCUAAUUAAAAACCCAAAAAAGAUUUUAUUUUUAUCGUCUGUCUUUAGUCGAAUUGAGUUUGUUAUUUAAUCCUUAAUUGUCCAAUCUGGACGAACUAUGCACUCCUGAUUCUCCUCUCUCAGUAGUGAGAUAUGUAGGCAUCCUAUUGUUGGUUCGGGGAUCUUAUUUGAAAAAUUCAAAAAAAAAAAAGAUUUUCUUCACUCUUUAUUAGAGUAGGUGUUUCAUAUACAUCUUUAAAAGAAAACUACAAAAAAAGAUUUUUCCUUUAAUAGGUUCAAGUUUCAUUUUCAUAUGAAAUUCAAAAUCGAAAACCCCAAAAGAAAAUUCUUUGGUAAUCAUAGGUUUCAUUUUGUAUAGGGAGUUUAAACUUGAAAAUGCAAAAAAAAAUAAAAAUAAAAAAAUUUCGUCAAUUCUUUUGACAAUUUGUUAUUUCCUUUUCUUUUAAAAGUUUCAAGAAAAAGAAAAAGAAUUAAUCGGCCAUUUUGACAAGACUUCACGAAUUACGCACACCUGAUUCUCCUCUCUCGGGAGUGAGAUACGUAGGCACCCUUCUUGGGUUCGGUGACCUUUUCAAAAAGAAAAAAAAAGGUUUUGAAAAAAAAGUGUUGAAUUCUAACGCAUUUGCUAUCUCUUGUUCAUUUAGUUUAAGGUGAUUGGUUUGUGGCAUUUUGGCUGGUCCUCCAUAUUGCACCAAGUCACAGAGAAAGUUAUGGCCAACAAGGAUAUCGAGAUUAUUGUGACUAAUCAGAUUGGGAGUUCGGGAAAUGAAAAUUUAGGAGAUAAUAAAGAGAUUCAGAAAUUAAGGCAGCAAAUGAUAGAAAUGCAUCGAGCUUGGGCUAAUGGGUUGCCACCUCCUCCAGUUCCCACUGAUAAUCUGAAAUAUCUUUCUAGCUUGUUUCCCGUGUCGCAUGCACAAUUUCCCAUUUUUAUUGAUAUGCCACAACAUGCAUUAGGAUCGACUCCGGGACAACAAUAUCCAACCACUUUUAAUGUUCAUUUUCUCACUCCUCAAUCCAAGACUACCACAUACUCGGCUCCACCUGCUGUUCAUGCUUUUGCGGCACCACCCCCACCUGAAGCUCCUACUUUUGAUGUUCAUCCACAAGUUGUGCCUCCCUACUCUACAAGAGAGCCUGUAUUAAUAUUACUGGUGAUCAGUGUUACACUUUUGAGCCUACAUUCAAGUUGACUGGUCUUUAUGGUGACACUCACCCGCCUGAAUUUCCUCCUAACACUGAGAAGCCUGUUAUGACAGAAGAACAAGAGAAAAUGACUAGAAAAUUGAGAAGUUUCGAACUGGCUAUGAAGAACUUGCAAGGACUUGGGGGUUACAAAAGUGUCUCAUAUAAAGAUCUGUGCAUGUUUUCGGGUGUUCAUCUCUCUCUUGAUUUUAAAAUGCCAAAGUUUGAGAAAUAUGACGGACACGGGGACCCAAUGACACAUUUGAGGCGCUAUUGUAACCAAUUAAGGGGCGCUGGAGGGAAGGAAGAACUACUCAUGGCUUAUUUCGGGGAGAGUGUUUAAAGCCUAGCUUCGAAAUGGUUUGUUGAUCAAGACAUCAACAAGUGGAUUAGUUGGGAUGACCUAGCUAAUGAAUUUGUGCAAUAAUUUCAAUACAAUGUGGAGUUGAUCCCUGAUGAAAAAUCUCUAACCAGUAUGAAGAAGAAGAAUACUGAGAGUUUCAGAGAGUAUGCGAUCAGAUGGCGUGAACAAGCUGCUAGGGUGAGGCCGCCAAUGAAAGAAAGCAAGAUAGUGGAGGUGUUUAUUCAAGCGCAAGAUAAAACAUAUUAUCAACAUUUUUUACCUGCGUUAGGCAAGCCAUUUAUUGAGGUCCUUAAAAUGGGGGAGAUGAUAGAAGAGGGAAUUAAGACUGGGCGUAUUGUGAGUUUUGCAACAUUGAAAGCGACUACUCAAGCAAUUCAAAAGGGAUCAGGAAGUGUUGGGGAGAAAAAGAAUGGGGAAGAUGCAUCUGCUAUUGUAGUUGGACAACAGGAAAGGUCAAGAAGACCACGUCGUCGUCACUCUCAGGCACAAGACCAAGUUCAUGCCCAAGCUUCAUAUAAUCACUCCCAAAAUCCAUUAUACUUUGCUCCUCCCCCUCCAUAUCCAGUAUAUAACACACAACCACUUAUUCAACCCCCAUGUUACCCACAGUGGAACACACCAACUCCUCAGAGACAUCAUCUAACACCACAAACAUACCAAAACCCUUCCAAUCCUGAUUUUCGAUCCAAGUCAAACGAUGAAAUGAGGCAAAAGUCGAGAGAUAGCUUCACACCAAUUGGAGAGUCGUAUGCCAGUUUAUUUUAGAGAUUGGUACAAUGGGGCAUGAUCACUCCUCUCCUUGGGUGCACUCUUAAUCAACAUUCAAGAAACUUUGAUCCUAAUAUACGAUGUGCAUAUCAUUCUGAUGCUUAGGGUCAUAGUAUUGAAGAUUGUCGUGAUUUGAAAAGAGAAAUUGAAAAGAUGAUUCAAGAUGGAUCAAUUAUGGUGCAGAACGUUGACAGUGAGGGAAGUUCUAGUCAUGCUGAUAUAUAAACCAGUGGAUAAGUCAUCAGGCUGAGCAAUUGAGAAGUCACCCCUCUCCUUACUAGGAAGAGGUCUGGUAGUUUGUUUUGUCUUAUUUUCUAUUUUCCGAAUUAUUUCAGGGUUGUAGUUCGGGAUCUAUUUUCUUUUGUCCCUUUGUCAUUUAUGUUCAAACCCUUCUAUCUUUUAUUUCAACUAAAUGGAUUUUCCCUUUCCCUUUGUGUUUAAAUAUGUGUCGUUUGUUUGUUUUCUUUGUACAAUACAUUUUAUGUUGAUUCUAGUGAUAUGACAUACUAGCGGAAUUUUCAGCUAGAUCUUAAAAUCCAACUUAACCAUGAAACAUUGAAUCAGAGGGCUAAAGUUAGGAAAAACAUCUGAGAAAAUAGGUGGAGUGCUGAGACAUUUGGUGACAAGUUGAAGCCUUCUUCAAAAAUUAAGUUAAUUACUUUGAGAAUCACAAGAAUAACUUGGUCAUCAAUUGAAAGACAUGUCUCAAUUAGGUUAAUAGUAGCUGCAUGAACAGAAAGAAAAUCAACUCCACGAAAGCAUGAUUCAUUAAAUUGGAAGGAUGUACAACAAAUAUAGAGUUGUAUGUUUGAAAAGUAUAGAAAAGAGGUGACACACAUGCUCGGGGCAAGUUAGUGUUGUAAAACACGUCAUAAGUGAUGUUGAUCAUGCACUUUCACAUUGGAUGCUAGGUACUAGUAUUUUCAAGGAUUGAUAUAACGAAGGUAUUUUAUUCUGCUAUCCAAACAUUGUGUCAUCCUUUGUUUACCCAUUUGAGCCUUAGUGUUAUUUUCUUUCAUACCCCUCUUUUGGAAUCAAUAUAAAGCCAACAAAGCUCAAAAGAAAAGUAUUGAGUAAGAGAAUAGAGUCAGAAAGCUUCAAAAUAAAAAAAGAAAAAAUGUGUCCAAGAAGGAAGAAAAGAGUGUCAAGGAAAUUAGAGUCAGAAAAAUCACAAAGAAAAAAAAAGUCAAAAUAAAAAAAAAGAACAAGUCAGAAUCAAGCAAAAAAAGAACAAGUGGCCAGAACUACACGUGACCUGAUUCUCCUCUUUUGGGGGUGAGAUACGUAGGCUGCCCUACUCAGGGAUCGGUCCAACAAAAUAAAAUUUAGUAUUGCCCAGUCAAAAGAAACUGGGGCAUGAGUUGAUCCUCAUUGUUUGAGUCGAUUCCAAAAGUUGUAAGUCCCACCCCACUUCAAGUGUCGUUUGGUCCCCAUGCCAUCCUUUUCUUUCUAACCCUAUCGAAAAUCCAAGUUACAACCAAAGAAAGACCUUCAGAUCAAUCUUCGAGAAUGCUCAGGCUAAGCAUGCAAUGGAUGUGGAUAACGCAUUUUGGGAACUACUUGUCUUCCUCAGCAUAAGGAAUCAGGAGAGAAAUGAAAAUGAGAGAGUCUUAUCAGUGAAAACCCUCAUGGGCACUGUAAGACGACGGUGAGUUGAGAUAAAUAAAAAUGAGAAAGUCUUAUCGGUGAAAACCCUCACGGGCACUGUAAAACGACUAUGAGUUGAGAAAAAUAAAAAUAAGAAUUUUAUUGGUAAAAACCCCUCUCGGAUACUAUAAGGCAAUGGUCAGGUGAUAAAAGGAAAUGAGAGGGGCUUGUUGGAGAAAACCCUUCAAGGCGUCACUAGCCGAAUGAGGUCUCUGAAUGCAAUUGGCCCAAGAAAGCAACUCACUUUCAGGGUCAUUAACUCAACAACAAUUUGUGAGAGUUUGGGAUGGAAAGAUCAGGUAGUUUAAUCCGAUAUGCAUGUCAUAAUUAUUAGAGUUGAUUGUCAUUUUCAGAUAAACUUUUCUUUCAUCUUUUUCAAUGGGGACAUUCAUUAUCAUUUCUUUCUUUUCUAUAGUUAUAUUUUUAUUUUUCUUGAGUCAUUUAUCCAAAUAAAAUCAUUGUCAUUUUUCUCUUGUCUUUGAGUCAAGUCUAUGUCAAAAUAAGUGAGAAAAGAUUUCAAAACUGGCUACCAGCUUCUUCAAUUGUACAAAGAAAGGAUGAAAGGCCAAUGUAUGAAAGAGACAUGAUUGUGAGCCAAAAUGAGGCAAGCAGAAAGUUUUGUCAACAAAUAAAUCUGGGAACUCAUGAAAUACCAAGGUUCGAAGGGGUCUAUCUGAGAAGCAUGGCAAAGCAGAGAUGCUGUGUUUGUCUCAGUCACUCUUAAUAAUCUGAGUUUGGUCAAUGAAGCAGUAAGUCAAUGAUACAGGCUAAUGGUUGGAAGCAAGAUUAAAUGUGAUGACGACAAGAGCGUUUGCCACGAAAGCCAAAGCCACAAACUAGCCACCAUAUUUUUAAACUCACAACCUUUCUUUGCAUGAAAUAGGAACACAUGCUACCUUCAAAUAAAGGAUUUCAAAGCCUAAACAUCAAGGCCCGUAAUUUCUCACUAUUACAAAUGCAGGAAGCAAUGUUGCUGCACAGGUUUGAUAAUUAAAUCAUGGUAAAAAUUCAUCAUCUUAUAUCCCUCGAAGACACACUUUCUUGUCCAGGGAUUUCAAUUUUCAUUUGCUGGAUGAUACACUUCUUAAAUUAAACCUUCACUCCUAGAGGACGUACCUUUUAGUUGAGUCAUUCCCUUUGAUUCCUAUAAGAUGUACCUUUUAGUCGAGUCAUCUCCUUUGAUUCCUAUAAGACGUACCUUUUAGUCGAGUCAUCUCCUUUGAUUCCUAUAAGACAUACCUUUUAGUCGAUUCAUUCCCUCUGAUUCCUAUAAGACGUACCUUUUAGUCGAGUCAUCUCCCUUGAUUCCUAGUAAGACGUAUCUUUUAUUCGAGUCAUCUCCCUUAAUUCCUAUAAGAUGUACCUUUUAGUCUAGUCAUUCUUCUUGACCCCUAGAAGACGUACCUUUUAGUCGAGUCAAUUCCUUUGAUUCUUAUCAGACGCACCUUAUAGUCGAGUCAUUCUUCUUGAUUCCUAUAAUGAUGUGACUUUUGCAAAAGUCCUUUGAUGAUAAACUGGGGCAAAAUUUAAUUCUUGUGUUGGAACUUCACUUUUCUGGCAAAUGAAACCUCUUUAUAAUAAUCUUUGUUUGGGAUAAUUUUUUUUUAGUUUUGAUGUGAUUUCAGGAGCCCUCCUGAAGAGCGGGGUGAAUAAAUAAAAAGUCAAGCAACAUAGUGAAGAAGUUGAAAGUCAAGAAAAAAGAGCCGCAGGCCGGAACCUCGAUGGGACCUCACUCGACUCUCCAACUCGGUUGUCUUUCUGCCUUUUAUUUCUUUCUCUGAAUAAUGGUCGGGACAAAAUUUUGUCUUGUUGUCUACUUCUUUAUCUGAAAACGCUUUGUGUUUACAUUCAAAGGGGUCAUGAUAUAGACACCUAAUUUCGUCCCUCCUCGAUAUCAUUUUUACCCAUUCUACCUUAUCCUACCGUGUACCCUCACCCAUGUUAUUAUACCUUCCAUAAAAUGAUAAAAAAUAACAACCUCUAACUAAUUUUAUUUUUAUUCUAACAACCUAUCCAAUAAAAAAUAAAAAACCACUACCCCACCUACCCUAACAAAUUUUAUCUUAACCAACUCACCCUACCCUACCUCACUACCCUAGAUCCCCUCCCCUUUUCUUUAAUGAAAUCACGCACAAAGAGGGGAUUUUCCAUUGUUUUCUUUCUCUGAACACUACAAUACGCAUGGGAAAGCAACAUAAUUCGUAAAAAAAUACUCCCACUUCAUAUAUCUAUGCACACACACACAAUCACAUAGGUAUACAUAUACUGUCACCACACAGUAAAAAGGAGGGAGGAUUAGGCGCACAGUGAAGAAGAGACAAGGGAGAGAGAGAAAGCACGAACACCGGUUAUGAAAGUGAUCGAAAGACUGAGAAGAAGAUGGGAGGAAAAUCCGGUCAGCUCGCUGGAAUAUACUUUCACCGGUGACUAAGCUCUUUGUUAGAAAAUGACCCGAAGGACCCGAAAAACAGUAGUCGGCAACCAAAUCAACUGCAGUAGUUCACGGGCUGCUUGAAAUUUCACCGCAUACACGCUAAAAUUGAUUAAAACCAUCCUAAACAUCAAAAAACAAAAGUGGGUUUGUCUUUGGGAUUUCGGGAAUCGAGUUUGAGGUCUGUUCGUGGUUCAUGGGUUCAUGAGGCUCCCAUCGCUGUUGAAAUUGGUUCAAGUUGAGUGAAUAAAAUUCUCAUUUGAGCUUCAAUUCUUCUCUUUCCAUCUUUUAUUUUAUUGUUGGUGAUGUUUGAUGCGUUGGAUUGAAUAUCGUUAAUUGCUUGUGUGUGAUGUGAAUGAUGAACAUUGAGUUUACAGGAGUUGUGGAUUGUUGGAAAUAGCAGUGUGUUUGUUAUGUUUGAAUCUUUGUUGUGAGUUGAUUGAUAUUGUUUUCAGACUUUGAAAAGUGAAUUGAUAAUCGAAGCAUGUGCUAAUCAUUGCUUGAGCAUGAAAUUAGGGGGUUGGAAAUUGAAAGAUUGAUUUGGUGAAUAUUUAUUAUUUUGUUAAUUGUCGAACACGAUUGUAUCAUGUUUAGACCAAAAUUUAUAGGCAAAUUCUAGAUUUUGGGGCAGGAAACUCGUAGGAUUCUAAUCAUCGAAUGUGUAAAUGUUUGUGUUGAGUGAUUUUCUUUAUUUUUAUCACAUUUUAUUAAAUGUAUUUAUUUAGCCGGGGAAUGCUCCGAGGCUCAUGGUAUUCAUUCACCGGGGAAUUUCCCGACGUAUUAUGUCUUCAAAGGAGGUUCGCGAUCAAGGCCCGAGGCAUCGGGUAAAACAACAGGGGCGUAGUUAGGAUUAGUGUAGAUUAUAGUAAGAUUUAUUUUUUGAAUUUUUUAUUUUGGACUGUAUAAUUGGACUAGACACUAUAUUUUGAAUUUGUUUUGUUUUGUGUGUUUGAUUGAUUGUUUUAUGUGUUUUUGGGUGGUUUAUACAUUUUAUAGUGUCAAAUUAGCCGAUAUGAUCCACCAAGCGACCGUGGUCAAACCACGGGAUCGAGGGGUGCCUAUCACCUUCCCCUAGGUCAACAGAAUUUCUUAGCCGGAAUCUCUAUUCGCAAACCAAUUUUAAAGAGUCAAAAUCAUUUUGAAAAGGAUUUUCAAAGGUGACUUGGCACACCGAAUUUAUGUCAGGUGGCAACUCUGAAUAAAAAAUAUAAAUAAUCCUUUUUUGAAACAAAACUUUCAUCUUUUGUCACUUUGAUAAUAAAACCCUUUCGAAUUUUAGAAUUUAUCUAUUGGUUAAAAAAGGGGUGUGACAAUUGUUUAAGCCUUGAUUUUGGAUAUGAACUGAAGAGAAGGUGAUUUUUGUUAAUAUAAAUGAAAAGUGGUGAUUUAAAGAGAUUGCAUGGUUUGUUACAAAAUACUUGACCAUGAUCACAUGUUUGUUGAAAUGUUGAAAAGAAAGAAUCCCUGCAUAGUUUGAAAUAUGUUUUGAAAUAUGAAUCCUCUUGUACCGUUUGAAUGAUUUGGUGGUCCAAACACUUUGUUUUGAAUGAAAGUAUUGUAACAUGAUACUAUAUGUCUUAGACAUAUGACUUGCAAGUAUUGGUAUGGCGAUACCAAAGUUAGACAAUGCGAUAACAGACUUAGAACAGAAUAGAAGUUAGAUUUCAAUUAGAUUUUCAGACUUUGAGUUUUGAAAGAUGCAUGUUCAGAAAAGGUUAAAAAUGGGUUUAAGAGAUGUUAGGUGGUUACCCGAAGAAGGCACAAGUUCAGCUAACUCAUUGCCCGAAAUCGUAUUUUUUCGAUAUGGGUUAUUAUGUUCCCCAGAGGAAUUAUACGCCGGUUUAGUGCCCUGUGGCGUAUCAGACUCAGACACUCCAACCUUUGAGGCAAACUUGGGUCGGGGGCUUACCCGUCGAGUAAAUGGCAGAUUCCAUAUAUCCCGUGGAAUAUCAGACUUGUAGGGUGUACCACCUAGCUCAGAACUAAGACAAAGAUGUUGAGUUGAUUUUCAGAACUGUUUUUAAAAAGCCUAUUUACAAUGCCCAUGGAUUUUCAAAUGGUUGAUGAUGACGUACUUUUCAUGAAAUGUUCUCACUUAUAUUAUAUAUUAUUAUUUUAUUUUUGGACGAUUCUGUGUACCAGUACAUUUGUAUUGACCCCCUAUAUUUCAGGAUCCGAGGCUCAAUCUAGUGGUUCCGCUAAGCCGUAGAUUUGUCAGACAGAAGUGUGCAGUUGGUGAGCCUUCCUUAUGUCGAAAAUCCUGUUUUUAGAACAUUAUUAUUUCAUUUUAUUUUGGUCCGACUGGGGACUUUGUCCCAGUCUUUAGACAGAUGUUGGUUUUCACAUUGUAAGAGAUUUUGCAGACUGGUGUCAUAUGUUUCCGAAUGUUAUGAAACUCAAGUUUCGUAUUGUUCAGC